rnacentral:rRNA from 1 species
GACGAACGCUGGCGGCGUGCCUAAUACAUGCAAGUAGAACGCAGUUGCGAACGGGUGAGUAACGCGUAGGUAACUGCCUCAUAGCGGGGGAUAACUAUUGGAAACGAUAGCUAAUACCGCAUCCUGUGAGAUGGACCUGCGUUGUAUUAGCUAGUUGGUGAGGUAAAGGCUCACCAAGGCGACGAUACCUAGCCGACCUGAGAGGGAGAUCGGCCACACUGGGACUGAGACACGGACCAGACAUCAUCGGGAGGCAGCAGUAGGGACUCGUCGGCGAUGGACGGAAGUCUGACCGAGCAACGCCGCGUGAGUGAAGACGGUUUUCCGAUAGUAAAGCUCUGUUGUAAGAGAAGCGGAAACUAACUAGAAAGGGACGGCUAACUACGUGCCAGCAGCCGCGGUAAUAC